AAUACCGCAUACGCCCUACGGGGGAAAGCGGGGGACCUUCGGGCCUCGUGCUAUUAGAUGAGCCUGCGUUGGAUUAGCUAGUUGGUGGGGUAAAGGCCUACCAAGGCGACGAUCCAUAGCUGGUCUGAGAGGAUGAUCAGCCACACCGGGACUGAGACACGGCCCGGACUCCUACGGGAGGCAGCAGUGGGGAAUAUUGCGCAAUGGGCGAAAGCCUGACGCAGCCAUGCCGCGUGUGUGAAGAAGGCCUUCGGGUUGUAAAGCACUUUCAAUUGGGAGGAAAGGUUCACGGUUAAUAACCGUGAGCUGUGACGUUACCUUUAGAAGAAGCACCGGCUAACUCCGUGCCAGCAGCCGCGGUAAUACGGAGGGUGCGAGCGUUAAUCGGAAUUACUGGGCGUAAAGCGCGCGUAGGUGGUCUGUUAAGUCGGAUGUGAAAGCCCCGGGCUCAACCUGGGAACUGCAUCCGAUACUGGCAAACUAGAGUGCGGGAGAGGGAGGUAGAAUUCCAUGUGUAGCGGUGAAAUGCGUAGAUAUGUGGAGGAAUACCAGUGGCGAAGGCGGCCUCCUGGCUCGACACUGACACUGAGGCGCGAAAGCGUGGGGAGCAAACAGGAUUAGAUACCCUGGUAGUCCACGCCGUAAACGAUGUCUACUAGCUGUAGGGGUACUUGAGACCUUUGUAGCGCAGCUAACGCAAUAAGUAGACCGCCUGGGGGAGUACGGCCGCAAGGUUAAAACUCAGAUGAAUUGACGGGGGCCCGCACAAGCAGUGGAGCAUGUGGGUUUAAUUCGAUGCAACGCGAAGAACCUUACCAGGCCUUGACAUCCUCGGAACUUUCUAGAAGAUAGAUUGGUGCCUUCGGGAACCGAGUGACAGGUGCUGCAUGGCUGUCGUCAGCUCGUGUCGUG
rnacentral:rRNA from 1 species